rnacentral:lncRNA from 1 species
AUUCCAAGAAUCCCACAAAAAGAAGUAGUAAAAGUCCAGGAAAAUACAAACCCAGAUAUGGAACUUCAAGGAAAUCAACUCUGAAGAAAAGUUUGAGUCAAGAACAAGUUAAUUUUACUAAACCAAUUCCUGAUGACCCUGUGGUUGGAAUUAUUGGAGGUGGCAUGUCUGGCCUUACCUGUGCUCUGUACUUGGAGAAAAGGGUACUAAACCAAUUCCUGAUGAUCCUGUGGUUGGGAUUAUUGGAGGUGGCAUGUCUGGCCUUGCCUGUGCUCUGUUCUUGGAGAAAAGGGGCAUUCGUUCCAACGUUUU